CAGGAAUGGAAAAAUAUGUGUCUUUUAGGCUUAUUGCAAUAGUCUGGGAGCGUCCUUGCCAUCUGUCAAGAAUGUGUUUGAUUACAGUUUUCUGCAGGACUUGACCAUGAGGUCAGGACAAUCAGUCUCCUGGAUGGGAGGCUUCUAUUUCCAGACCUGGAUGUGGUUGGACCAGAGCCCCUUCAGCUACAGUAACUUUGCUUCAGUGAAUACUGUCAGCCGAUACCAGUGCAUGUACCUCCAAACCAGAGCGGGCUGGUCCAAUCAUAGCUGUGGUAAUGCAUGGCCAUUCAUCUGCGUGAAGAAAACUGGUAGCUGCUAAACUGGACAGCAGGACAAAGCUGUGUUCACUGAGCUGAAUCAUAUUUAGUGUUGGAGGACAUUUAGACUGUUAAUGAACAUAACUGUGUUUACUUUUAG